UUAAGCGACUAAGCGUACACGGUGGAUGCCCUGGCAGUCAGAGGCGAUGAAGGACGUGCUAAUCUGCGAUAAGCGUCGGUAAGGUGAUAUGAACCGUUAUAACCGGCGAUUUCCGAAUGGGGAAACCCAGUGUGUUUCGACACACUAUCAUUAACUGAAUCCAUAGGUUAAUGAGGCGAACCGGGGGAACUGAAACAUCUAAGUACCCCGAGGAAAAGAAAUCAACCGAGAUUCCCCCAGUAGCGGCGAGCGAACGGGGAGCAGCCCAGAGCCUGAAUCAGUGUGUGUGUUAGUGGAAGCGUCUGGAAAGGCGCGCGAUACAGGGUGACAGCCCCGUACACAAAAAUGCACAUGCUGUGAGCUCGAUGAGUAGGGCGGGACACGUGGUAUCCUGUCUGAAUAUGGGGGGACCAUCCUCCAAGGCUAAAUACUCCUGACUGACCGAUAGUGAACCAGUACCGUGAGGGAAAGGCGAAAAGAACCCCGGCGAGGGGAGUGAAAAAGAACCUGAAACCGUGUACGUACAAGCAGUGGGAGCACGCUUAGGCGUGUGACUGCGUACCUUUUGUAUAAUGGGUCAGCGACUUAUAUUCUGUAGCAAGGUUAACCGAAUAGGGGAGCCGAAGGGAAACCGAGUCUUAACUGGGCGUUAAGUUGCAGGGUAUAGACCCGAAACCCGGUGAUCUAGCCAUGGGCAGGUUGAAGGUUGGGUAACACUAACUGGAGGACCGAACCGACUAAUGUUGAAAAAUUAGCGGAUGACUUGUGGCUGGGGGUGAAAGGCCAAUCAAACCGGGAGAUAGCUGGUUCUCCCCGAAAGCUAUUUAGGUAGCGCCUCGUGAAUUCAUCUCCGGGGGUAGAGCACUGUUUCGGCAAGGGGGUCAUCCCGACUUACCAACCCGAUGCAAACUGCGAAUACCGGAGAAUGUUAUCACGGGAGACACACGGCGGGUGCUAACGUCCGUCGUGAAGAGGGAAACAACCCAGACCGCCAGCUAAGGUCCCAAAGUCAUGGUUAAGUGGGAAACGAUGUGGGAAGGCCCAGACAGCCAGGAUGUUGGCUUAGAAGCAGCCAUCAUUUAAAGAAAGCGUAAUAGCUCACUGGUCGAGUCGGCCUGCGCGGAAGAUGUAACGGGGCUAAACCAUGCACCGAAGCUGCGGCAGCGACGCUUAUGCGUUGUUGGGUAGGGGAGCGUUCUGUAAGCCUGUGAAGGUGUACUGUGAGGUAUGCUGGAGGUAUCAGAAGUGCGAAUGCUGACAUAAGUAACGAUAAAGCGGGUGAAAAGCCCGCUCGCCGGAAGACCAAGGGUUCCUGUCCAACGUUAAUCGGGGCAGGGUGAGUCGACCCCUAAGGCGAGGCCGAAAGGCGUAGUCGAUGGGAAACAGGUUAAUAUUCCUGUACUUGGUGUUACUGCGAAGGGGGGACGGAGAAGGCUAUGUUGGCCGGGCGACGGUUGUCCCGGUUUAAGCGUGUAGGCUGGUUUUCCAGGCAAAUCCGGAAAAUCAAGGCUGAGGCGUGAUGACGAGGCACUACGGUGCUGAAGCAACAAAUGCCCUGCUUCCAGGAAAAGCCUCUAAGCAUCAGGUAACAUCAAAUCGUACCCCAAACCGACACAGGUGGUCAGGUAGAGAAUACCAAGGCGCUUGAGAGAACUCGGGUGAAGGAACUAGGCAAAAUGGUGCCGUAACUUCGGGAGAAGGCACGCUGAUAUGUAGGUGAAGUCCCUCGCGGAUGGAGCUGAAAUCAGUCGAAGAUACCAGCUGGCUGCAACUGUUUAUUAAAAACACAGCACUGUGCAAACACGAAAGUGGACGUAUACGGUGUGACGCCUGCCCGGUGCCGGAAGGUUAAUUGAUGGGGUUAGCGCAAGCGAAGCUCUUGAUCGAAGCCCCGGUAAACGGCGGCCGUAACUAUAACGGUCCUAAGGUAGCGAAAUUCCUUGUCGGGUAAGUUCCGACCUGCACGAAUGGCGUAAUGAUGGCCAGGCUGUCUCCACCCGAGACUCAGUGAAAUUGAACUCGCUGUGAAGAUGCAGUGUACCCGCGGCAAGACGGAAAGACCCCGUGAACCUUUACUAUAGCUUGACACUGAACAUUGAGCCUUGAUGUGUAGGAUAGGUGGGAGGCUUUGAAGUGUGGACGCCAGUCUGCAUGGAGCCGACCUUGAAAUACCACCCUUUAAUGUUUGAUGUUCUAACGUUGACCCGUGAUCCGGGUUGCGGACAGUGUCUGGUGGGUAGUUUGACUGGGGCGGUCUCCUCCUAAAGAGUAACGGAGGAGCACGAAGGUUGGCUAAUCCUGGUCGGACAUCAGGAGGUUAGUGCAAUGGCAUAAGCCAGCUUGACUGCGAGCGUGACGGCGCGAGCAGGUGCGAAAGCAGGUCAUAGUGAUCCGGUGGUUCUGAAUGGAAGGGCCAUCGCUCAACGGAUAAAAGGUACUCCGGGGAUAACAGGCUGAUACCGCCCAAGAGUUCAUAUCGACGGCGGUGUUUGGCACCUCGAUGUCGGCUCAUCACAUCCUGGGGCUGAAGUAGGUCCCAAGGGUAUGGCUGUUCGCCAUUUAAAGUGGUACGCGAGCUGGGUUUAGAACGUCGUGAGACAGUUCGGUCCCUAUCUGCCGUGGGCGCUGGAGAACUGAGGGGGGCUGCUCCUAGUACGAGAGGACCGGAGUGGACGCAUCACUGGUGUUCGGGUUGUCAUGCCAAUGGCACUGCCCGGUAGCUAAAUGCGGAAGAGAUAAGUGCUGAAAGCAUCUAAGCACGAAACUUGCCCCGAGAUGAGUUCUCCCUGACUCCUUGAGAGUCCUGAAGGAACGUUGAAGACGACGACGUUGAUAGGCCGGGUGUGUAAGCGCAGCGAUGCGUUGAGCUAACCGGUACUAAUGAACCGUGAGGCUUAACCUU
rnacentral:rRNA from 1 species